CUUACUCCUAAAAACCUUGAUUUCCUCCACUUUUAUCAACAAAUCAACCAUGGAUUUUGCAUCAACGAUGAAGAACAAGUGAAGAUCAACAUUUUCAACCGAUUGGAUUUUGGAAUUUCGAAGUGAUGCUCUUGACCUAGCUUCCUUGCUUUCAAUCUUGAGGGCACACUUCAGGAGGGCCAAGCACUCAGUUGUAGCACUGCAUGUUUCCAGUAUGUUACAAGUUCAAGUAUGCUCAGGUAUGUUUCAAGUAUAUGUUACAAGUUUGAAUAUACUACAAGGUCAAACAAGUUUCAAGGGCUUUAUGCCAAUGUUUCAAGGGCCUCGUGCCACCACAUUUCAAGGGCUUAUAGCCAUCAAGUUUAUGUUGCAAGAUUGGGCCUAAGGCCGUUAUGUACUUAGCACAGAA